CCUACGGGGGUCAGCAGUGGGGAAUAUUGGACAAUGGGGGCAACCCUGAUCCAGCCAUGCCACGUGUGUGAAGAAGGCCCUCGGGUUGUAAAGCACUUUCAGUGAGGAAGAACGCCUGGUGGUUAAUACCCAUCAGGAAAGACAUCACUCACAGAAGAAGCACCGGCUAACUCCGUGCCAGCAGCCGCGGUAAUACGGAGGGUGCGAGCGUUAAUCGGAAUUACUGGGCGUAAAGCGCGCGUAGGUGGCUUGAUAAGCCGGUUGUGAAAGCCCCGGGCUCAACCUGGGAACGGCAUCCGGAACUGUCAAGCUAGAGUGCAGGAGAGGAAGGUAGAAUUCCCGGUGUAGCGGUGAAAUGCGUAGAGAUCGGGAGGAAUACCAGUGGCGAAGGCGGCCUUCUGGACUGACACUGACACUGAGGUGCGAAAGCGUGGGUAGCAAACAGGAUUAGAUACCCCAGUAGUC
rnacentral:rRNA from 1 species